GGCGCACGGGUGAGUAACGCGUAUGCAACCUACCUUUAACUGGAAGAUNGCCCCGAGAAAUCGGGAUUAAUACUCCAUAAUGAUUACGAAUCGCAUGAUUUGUAAUUUAAAGCUCCGGCGGNUAAAGAUGGGCAUGCGUGACAUUAGUUAGUUGGGGAGGNAACGGCUCACCAAAACAACGAUGUCUAGGGGUUCUGAGAGGAUUAUCCCCCACACUGGUACUGAGACACGGACCAUACUNCUACGGGAGGCAGCAGUGAGGAAUAUUGGUCAAUGGGCGAAAGCCUGAACCAGCCAUGCCGCGUGCAGGAUGA
rnacentral:rRNA from 1 species